rnacentral:rRNA from 1 species
AGCCUACCCCUAGCUCCAACAACACUACCACAAGCACACUCCAUCACCAAAACUAAAACAUUCUACUCAACUUAGUAUAGGCGAUAGAAAAGUACCUAAGGACGCCAUAGAAACACGUACCGUAAGGGAAAGGUGAAAUAACAGUGAAACCUAAAGCCACAAACAGCAAAGAUAAACCCUUGUACCUUUAGCAUUAUGAUCUAGCAAGAACAACCAAGCAAAAUGAAUUUAAGCUUGCCCUCCCGAAACCCGGGCGAGCUACUUGAAGGCAGCUGCCCCGAGCGAACCCGUCUCUGUUGCAAAAGAGUGGGACGACCUUCUAGUAGAGGUGACAAUCCUACCGAGCCGGGUGAUAGCUGGUUGCCUGUGAAAGGAAUCUAAGUUCCGCCUCAACUCUUCCCGACGGACAAUAACCCACCAUGAAAAAGUUGAAAGUAAUUUAAAGGGGGUACAGCCCCUUUAAAAAAGAAUACAACCUCCACCAGAGGAUAACCUACCGCACGCAUAACAGUGGGCCUUUAAGCAGCCACCAACAAAGAGUGCGUCAAAGCUCUACCCCCCCCCCCCAAAAAAUCUACCAACAACACGACUCCCUCACCACUAACAGGCCAACCUAUCUACAUAUAGGAGAAUCAAUGCUAGAAUGAGUAACCAGGGGCCCCACACCCCCUCCAAAGCGCAAACUUACAUCAUAAUAUUAUUAACAAACCAAAAUCAACACCAACCACCAACAAGAAUAGCCUAUUUUCCAGCCCGUUAACCCCACCAAGGAGCGCUCACUAGAAAGAUUAAAAUCUGUAAAAGGAACUAGGCAAACCCAAGGCCCGACUGUUUACCAAAAACAUAGCCUUCAGCCAACCAAGUAUUGAAGGUAAUGCCUGCCCAGUGACACUACGUUUAACGGCCGCGGUAUCCUAACCGUGCAAAGGUAGCGCAAUCAAUUGUCCCAUAAAUCGAGACCUGUAUGAACGGCUAAACGAGGUCUUAACUGUCUCUUACAGAUAAUCAGUGAAAUUGAUCUCCCCGUGCAAAAGCGAGGAUACACCCAUAAGACGAGAAGACCCUGUGGAACUUCAAAAUCAGUGACCACUUCACAUACUUCUUUUCCAACUAGGACCUACAACCCCUACAUGCUUGGCCACCAUUUUUCGGUUGGGGCGACCUUGGAGAAAAACUAAUCCUCCAAAACAAAGACCAUGCCUCUUAACUAAGAAUACCCCUCAACGUACUAAUAGUAACCAGACCCAAUAAAAUUGACCAAUGAACCAAGCUACCCCAGGGAUAACAGCGCAAUCCCCUCCAAGAGCCCCUAUCGACGAGGGGGCUUACGACCUCGAUGUUGGAUCAGGACAUCCUAAUGGUGCAGCCGCUAUUAAGGGUUCGUUUGUUCAACGAUUAAUAGUCCUACGUGAUCUGAGUUCAGACCGGAGCAAUCCAGGUCGGUUUCUAUCUAUGCCAAGCUCUCCCUAGUACGAAAGGACCGGAAGAGCCGGGCCACUACCCCACGGCACGCCCCCACCCAAGUAGUGAACCAAACUCAACUACUCACAAACAUACUUCACCCUAGAAAAGGGUA